AAAUUUUUUUAAAAAGACAUGUAUAAUUAUUUCGUCUUUCAAAGAACGUACAUAUUCAUAUAUAAAUAAAGAAGCUCCAAUGCUUUCAAAAUUAAUUUACUCAUAUAUCAAACUUAAUUUUAUACAUUUAAACUUUAUGCCGUUAGAUAACAUGAAUUUUUUAAAUUGUAGUGUCAUUAAAAUUUAUGAUUCAAUAGUUGAGAAAAUAAAUACUAUCAUAAUAUACAUAUCAAAAUUAAAAGAAUAUCAAUAUUGCUUUAAAAUUGCAAAUAGUUAUAUACCUCUACUCUACAUUGAUUCAUUAAGAUUGAGAAAUGUUUUAAAAUAUAAUUUUCCAUUUGAUCAAUUGGGAAAUCAUGAAGACAUAUAUCGUCCGCUGUAUUUCUCAGAUGAAGACUUAAUUGAUAAAGAAAUACAUGAUAUUCAAGUAUCGAGUGAUGAAAAUUAUGAUGAUGAGAAAAAUAGUGAUGACAAUGAGGUUGUUGAAAUAAAGAAUGAAACGUAUUACUCUCCUAAAUACUUAGAAGAUUAUUUACUUUUCGUAUAACUUAUAAAAUGUUAGUCAAAUGUAUUAGAAGAAAAAUCGAUGUCUUUGAGGAACGUUUGCACAAAAGCAUGGCUGGUAUGGGAACAGAUGAUAAGACUUUGAUAAGAAUUAUAGUGUCAAGGUCUGAAAUCGAUCUCGGUGACAUUAAAUUGGCAUUUGAAAGAUUAUAUGGGAUUUCUUUGGAAUCUUGGAUUAGCGUAAGUUGACAAUUAGCAAUAAUUAGCCUGAGUAAUUAUUAAAAUGGUAGUAGAUUUUAAUUAAAAUUUUUGUUAUUACAGGGAGAUAUUUCUGCAGAUUAUAAGAAACUUUUAUUCAAAUUGAUUGGAUAAAAUGU